GAAUUUUUCUGCUAAAGAGGUAACGACCCCUGAAGAACUACCAAAAUAAAGGACUUGCAUUCGAGGUACAAGCACGAUCACAACACAUUGCUUUCACAAGGAGCCUUCUUCUGCCCCCUCACAGUGCUGGGCAUGAGACAGCAGAACACCAAGACGUCUGAAUGAAGAGAGAAAACACUGACCAACACGUUCUAAGAGAUGUGUUCUGAGAGCACUGCCUACAGAGAAUUCAGAAUCUGCCACAGAAAAAGGCUGUUGCGUGCAGGAUCUUACCACUAACAAGGCACUAUCAUCAGUAUGCUGAGACCUUCUGGAUGGAAAGGGACACUGGGAGGUGGGAGAGAUGGAGUAAUGUCAGAAACAAACAGAACGACACAGCUGUGAACAGACAGACAUUUUGGAACACGUGCUGCUUGUUUAUAGCACUGUGAGGCACUGCUUCGACAGUUCCAUACAGCAGCCAAAACUGCGUAGGAAUACACAGCCACAUGACCCAGGAAUUACAGGGUACCCCUAUCACUUAAGGAAUCAAUUACCCUGCUGUGUUGUCUCAAGCACAUACAGACAACCACGUAUUCAGUUUUUAGCAUGGGAGAACAAAGGACCCUUUAAAAGAAUACAUUCAGAACAAAAGAACAUUAAGAAGAGCAAAAAGGAGCAAAGACUAUUUCAA